AGAGAUGCGGCUGGCGCUGCCCGGAGCAUGGCGACCGCGUGGCUGAGCUCUUCUGUCGCCGCUGCCGCCGCUGCGUGUGCGCGCUUUGCCCGGUGCUGGGCGCGCACCGUGGCCACCCUGUGGGCCUGGCGCUGGAGGCAGCGGUGCACGUGCAGAUAAAGUAAAGUGUGAGGAAGGGGUGCAAAUCAAGAUUAGAGGCAUACCUGAUGUGGACCUCCGAGGAUCAGAGAGGUCCUAGUCCCAGCUCAUCCACCAACUUGCCAUAUGACUUUGGGCAAGUUACCUCACCUUCAGAUGCCUCCAUUGGAAAAGAAUACAAGGAAACUCAGCCAAGAAUGUUUAAAGCAGCUGGCAAUCAAGAAGCAGCAGCACGUUGACAACAUAACCCAGAUAGAAGAUGCCACCGAGAAGCUCAAGGCUAAUGCAGAGUCAAGUAAAACCUGGCUGAAGGGGAAAUUCACUGAACUCAGAUUACUACUUGACGAAGAGGAAGCGCUGGCCAAGAAAUUCAUUGAUAAAAACACGCAGCUUACCCUCCAGGUGUACAGGGAACAAGCUGACUCUUGCAGAGAGCAACUUGACGUCAUGAAUGAUCUCUCCAACAGGGUCUGGAGUAUCGGCCAGGAGCCCGAUCCUGUCCAGAGGCUUCAGGCAUACACGGCCACCGAGCAGGAGAUGCAGCAGCAGAUGAGCCUCGGGGAGCUGUGCCAUCCCGUGCCCCUCUCCUUUGAGCCCGUCAAGAGCUUCUUUAAGAGCCUCGUGGAAGCCGUGGAGAGUAUAUUACAGAUGCCAUUGGACAUUCGCCUUAAGGAAA
rnacentral:sRNA from 1 species